rnacentral:tRNA from 1 species
GGCGCGUUCGUCUAGCGGUUAGGACGCCGGCCUCUCACGCCGGUAGCACGGGUUCGAGUCCCGUACGCGCUACCA